rnacentral:lncRNA from 1 species
GCCGGGGCGGGGCCGCGCCGGGCGGGCGCGCGGGAGCUGCGGAGGGAGGGUGUCGCGCCGAGGGAAGCGGCCCGCGGCGGAGGGAGGGAAGGCCGAGUCCUGGAAGCGGAGCUCCGCGCUGGGACUGGUUCCUUCGCAGCCAUUUUCUGUCCAACCAAACAGCCGAUUGGAGACGGGAGCCAACCAGGGCUGCAUUGGAGGUUGAAAUUGGCAAAGAUCAGACACCUUUUUAGACAGGUGUUCUGGAGUAGCACUGACAACACGGUUCACCCAGUAUUUCAUGACAAUGGACGGUGACAGUUCUACAACAGAUGCUUCUCAACUCGGAAUUUCUGCAGACUAUAUUGGAGGAAGUCAUUAUGUCAUACAGCCUCAUGAUG